UACGGAAGGGGGUUAGCGUUGUUCGGAAUUCUGGGCGUAAAGCGCGCGUAGGCGGAUUAGUCAGUUAGAGGUGAAAUCCCAGGGCUCAACCCUGGAACUGCCUUUAAUACUGCUAGUCUUGAGUUCGAGAGAGGUGAGUGGAAUUCCGAGUGUAGAGGUGAAAAUUCGUUAGAUAUUCGGAGGAACACCAGUGGCGAAGGCGGCUCACUGGCUCGAAUUACUGACGCUGAGGUGCGAAAAGUGUGGGGGAGCAAAACAGGAUUAGAUACCCCGCGUAGUCC
rnacentral:rRNA from 1 species